rnacentral:rRNA from 1 species
CCUACGGGAGGCUGCAGUGGGGGAUAUUGCACAAUGGGGGGAACCCUGAUGCAGCAACGCCGCGUGCAGGAUGAAGGCCCUACGGGUCGUAAACCUCUUUUGCCGGGGAGCAAGGGCGGGGACGUGUCCCGGCCCGGAGAGUACCCGGAGAAAAAGCAUCGGCUCACUCCGGGCCAGCAGCCGCGGUAAUACGGAGGAGGCGAGCGUUAUCCGGAUUUAUUGGGUUUAAAGGGUGCGUAGGCGGGCUGUUAAGUCAGCGGUAAAAAUUCGGGGCUCAACCCCGUCCGGCCGUUGAAACUGGGGGCCUUGAGUGGGCGAGAAGAAGGCGGAAUGCGUGGUGUAGCGGUGAAAUGCAUAGAUAUCACGCAGAACCCCGAUUGCGAAGGCAGCCUUCCGGCGCCCUACUGACGCUGAGGCACGAAAGUGCGGGGAUCGAACAGGAUUAGAUACCCUUGUAGUC